UACGGGGGGAGCAAGCGUUGUUCGGAUUUACUGGGCGUAAAGGGCGCGUAGGCGGCCUCCGCAAGUCGACUGUGAAAUCUCUGGGCUUAACCCAGAACGGUCAGCCGAUACUGCGGGGCUAGAGUGCAGAAGGGGCAACUGGAAUUCUCGGUGUAGCGGUGAAAUGCGUAGAUAUCGAGAGGAACACCUGCGGCGAAGGCGGGUUGCUGGGCUGACACUGACGCUGAGGCGCGAAAGCCAGGGGAGCGAACGGG
rnacentral:rRNA from 1 species